CACGUAGGGGGCAAGCGUUGUCCGGAUUUAUUGGGCGUAAAGAGCUCGUAGGCGGUUUGGCAAGUCGGGUGUGAAAACUCGAGGCUCAACCUCGAGACGCCACCUGAUACUGCCAUGACUGGAGUCCGGUAGAGGAGUGCGGAAUUCCUGGUGUAGCGGUGAAAUGCGCAGAUAUCAGGAGGAACACCAACGGCGAAGGCAGCACUCUGGGCCGGUACUGACGCUGAGGAGCGAAAGCGUGGGGAGCAAACAGG
rnacentral:misc_RNA from 1 species